CUGCCAGGAAGAACCAGGUGCCUUGGGAACAGUGAGGCUGAAAGGAGCAGGAAGCAAAGAAUGAGGCUGUUGAAGUUGAAUGGACAUUCAUGGAUCACUCUUCCGUGUGAGGUUCCAAGUGAAGGCUCAAGUCACUCUUCCAUUCAUGGAGUUCUGCCUACCCCCACCUCAUGCAGAGUGAAAGCCCUAUCAGCCCUGCCUGACUUGUCCCUUCUCUGUCCCCAUCGUCUGCUGCUAACUCUGGGGUCCCUCAUUUCCAGCCACACAGGGCACCGUGAGGCCCCUGGAACUCAUACCACAGGUAUAGCCCUGCCUGCCAGUGAAUCAAAUUGUAUAAAAUGUAAGAAAAACAAGGAAAGUCUGCAUGUUCCUGUAUGUUCCAACACUCUAGGUUCUCAUGUAGGAUAAUAUUUGGUGAUUGAAAACUUCAUAAUCCCAGAAUAUUCAAAAGUGCUAUUUUGAUAUUCCUUAUAGUUGUGUAUAGAUGUACAAAGACUCUUUUUUUUUUUGGUUGAUUUUUUUCAUUUUUUUUUUUCCGUGAAAGAACUUUUCAGAACUCAAGAUUUCUGUGAGGAUUAUAAGUGGCUAUUCUAACCUAUCUACUUGGGGUUCCAGAUAGGAGGUCUAAUCUAGUCUUGCCCAAAGCAGAACCUCUGCCCUGUCCAAAUUGCUAGAGAAGGAAUGCAGGAAAUGCGCCUCCUCCCUGUGUCUUUCAAAGGAUGGUUAUUGACUGGGUACCUACUUUUCUUGCUACCACUGUCUGUUCCCUGAGUCAGGCCACUAACCAAAGUGCUAUUUAUGCUACAAAGUGUUAUAACAAGAAAGGUUUCAUGAGCACAUUGACCUAUCACAUAGAAACCUGACUGACCUUUGAAUAUUAUAACGCUAGAUGUAGACUUUUAAAUUGAGCAUGCCUGGAAUUCCACUUGAUGCUGGCAUUUUAGAGAGGCUUCAAGAAAAAUUGUUCAGGUGCCUGUGAGAUCAUCUGCUUUGGAUAAUGAAGGAUUGACACACCUUAAAGUGUUCUCAACACACAUUCUCUUAUAGUCUCGAAAUACAGAGAGACAGCUACUCAUCUUUCACACCCAAAAGUACACAGUGUAAAAGAAAGUUGUGUCGAGUGUCACCGAAUGUCACUGGGUUAGUGACGGAGAAAUAAUGGAUGAUAUCUUGACUGACGGGAGGAAGUAGAAAGCCAUUAACAGCAGUGAAGAAAAUCAUUUUGGGAAAUGAAAAAAGGAUAGGAGAGAAGCAGAGCAUGGAGCUUCAGCGUCGUGUGGGUUCACUAAGGCUGUGGAGGCAGCUGAGUGCCACCACCCAGAGGUUCUGCAGUUGGACAAGCUCUGCUCCAUUUACAGGUGACAGAGCCAAACUCCACAGCCCCACAACCCCCAGGGGUAGGAUCAGAAUGGAAACAACUGCAAUCACAAUUAAUGCACAUAUUGCAAAU
rnacentral:lncRNA from 1 species